rnacentral:lncRNA from 10 species
CAUGUUUAUAUGGAUUAUCUCCACUGAUCUUCAUGAGAACUCUAGCGUGCUGGCCCUUCUCAAAGUGUCCCAUGAAAAAGUUAUUCCACACCUCCUCCCUGACCUUGUCGUGCAGACGCUUCCAGGAUGAACUCCAACUCGCCGAGCCACCGCAGCUCCUCAGCUGACUAAAAGAGUUAAUGAUCCUCCAGGUUAAAACUCCUCCUUGAGCACACACCUUCUCUCAACAAAUGACAAUACUUGGCAAACUGAACUCCUCCCACGAGUCGCCCUCUGCUAGGAGGAAUUGCUGGCUGCUCCCUGCUUAUUGCAUUCUCUCAGAGCAGCUGUCUCAAAGGAGGCUGCUCCCAUGCCGAUCUUUUUGUGCCCAACUUACAGGGAAAGAACUCAUUGCCUGCCCAGUGCCUGCCAGCCUCAGACUUCUGACUGCAAAUCCAACAGGACAAUACAGAGUUGGCAGGACCCUUCUCAGGAGUGAGGAGCGGGUGCAAGAACUCCCAGGUCACUGCUUUAUUCAGAGGACCUAAGGAAUUGGGUUGAGCGGAAGCGCACAGAGCUGCAGAUUUUCUUUGAUGAAUGAAAGCUUCAAUCCACAGGUUUCUAAUAGUACUCUCAUUCAUUUUGCUUACAAAAGGUACAGAUUAUCACUAAUCCUCUUCAAAAGGUAUUUGUAAUCACAUUUCCUUGUAUAUGCAAAAAAAAUUCUAUUUAAAGUGUAUGUGAAAUUAAGUUUACUUUUUUGAAACACAUGUAGAAAAAGAACAAAGGUAUCAUCAAACUAGUCUAUGUAGUCUCCUUUCACUAAAAUAUUGAUGGUUCAACACUUAAGGAAGUCUAGAAAUAAAAUAUUCAAAUGACUAUAUGGCCAGACUCUUUUUUAAUUUGUUUACACAUUUAUUCAAUAAACAGUGCCUGAGCACAGGGACUACCUAAAAAAGUUAAGUCAUAUUUGCUACCCUCGUGUUGAUGUAAGGAUUCAAACAUCCAAACAAAUAUGAUAGAAAGUGGAUUGUUAUUAUAAGAGAUGGAACAGAAGUCUAAGAAAACUGUCAGAAGUCCCAAUGUGGUGUAGAGAAACACACCCCUACCCUAGCUCUGGCAAAAUACCUGUAUUCCAGCUGCUUGUCUGCACUGGCCUUGCUGUGUGAUCAUUUAACUAUAGGAACCGGCUCUUCUCAUCUGGUACCGCCCGACAGGACUUUUGAGAGAAUGGAAUGAGAUCAUUGUGAAAGUACAUUGUACAGCACUGAUCAAGUGCUGUUAGGAUUAUUAAACUAAAUGUGCAUUUGAACAGUAGGUGUUAGGACAUAGUGGCUAAGGGCAUAUACACUAAAUUUGGAAGGCCUGAGUUCAAAUUUGGACUGUACUAGGUGGUCGUUGUGCUACCUUGGGAUAUAACAAGUUAUACAAACUCCAUUCUCCUCUAUUUCCUCACAUGUAACAUAAAGAUGAUGAUAAUAGAACCUACGUCCUAAAACAGACUUUUAAGAAAGAGUGCCUGGGAAAUAAUAGGUGUUCCACAAAAGAUAGUUAUUUUUACCUUCACCAUGUCCACUGUCUGUCCCUCAAGCUACAUUGGCAAUGAUAUCUCCAACCUGACCCAAAUAACCCUAAUGUGACCAAGAUCAAUGUGUGCAUGUGUGUGUGUGUAUAUGUUGUAUGUGUAAAACCUUGAGCAAAUAGUGAAGUAUAGGAUAAACAUAAAAAGUAAGCUAAGUAAACCCAUUGUAAUAGUAAUUACAAAAUAUAUAUGUACGUGUGUG